UAAUAAUAUAGAUUAACUAUUGUCAUUAUUUUGACUUUGAUUAUACUUAAAUCAUACCAUAGCUUUGGACCUAGCUAGAGUUGAUUCUCUUUCUAUAUUUGUGUGUUUGUUAUGGACUACAUCUAGGCUACAAUAUUUAUAGGUAGGGACAAAACAAACUAAAUUCCAAAAAUUCCCAAAAAUCCUGAUAAACAAGUGGAUCCAAUAAUCGAAGGAGCAGGAAAAAAGGAAGAUCUCUACAGCCUUUGGUUUUAGAAAAUUUAGAGGUGCCUCUUUAGUCAAAUAAUAAAGACAAAUUCCUUCAUCAAUUGUCUCGCCACUAGCCAUUACAUUAGGAUAUCGUGUGAAUCUCGCAGUUUUUUUUUUUUUUGUUACUGUAAAUGGACAACAUUAUAGCCUUAGUAAUACCAUAAGCCCAGUCCAAGAAGGUAAGAGCACCAGCAACACUUAAGAGCAUCAUUAGCGUCAAACUCUUAAAAACAGGUUCUUAAAGGUAAAAUAAUACUAUUUUAAUUUGUUUUAUUUAAAUCAUAAAAAUGAAAUGUCUAAAACUAUUAAUGUAUUGACAGGUGUGAAGAGCUCUAAAAACCAGGUUCUUAGACCAUGAUUAUCGGGGUCCUAAAGUUGGGUCCUAACCCAUUAUCGGCCCAAAAAUAAAUACAAAAUGGUGAUAAUGUUCCGGGACGGGCAUUAACCAAGGUCGAUUUUUGCUCGUCCUUCCUUGCCACCUGUCGAGUGGAGAUGAAGCGGAGAAGUCGUGUAGGGGAAACUCGACUUUCUCUUCCCAAAUCGAUCUCACCGUCUUCCGAUUCUCUCUCGACGGCGACGCAUGUGGCGAUAAAGUACACCGACGAUUUCAUCCCGAAUCUCUCCGGAUCCCUCACGAGUCUAUCCCGAGUCUGUCUCCAACCUCAUUCUCCGCCGAUUUCAAUCUAAAAGGUCAUGGGAUUGGAUUAUAGCUACACGCAGCCGUCUGAUUCGGAGGAUUAUGGUUUAGGGAACUCAGCAGACAGUGGAAACAGCUCCACAGAAAUGAAUAUACUGCUGGACCAAGCAGAGAUAGAAGCCGCACGGGUUCAGUACCCUCCGCAGCCGGAGGUUGAGUUCGGCUUCCCCAAGGAAUGCUACUGUGGUGGCGAACCGCUUAUUAGGACAUCUUACACAAGAACUGACCCGAGGAGAAGGUUCUACACCUGUGAGAACAUCGACGACGGAGACUUCCAUGUACACAAGUGGUGGGAUGUGGCGGCUACAGAGGAGAUCAAAGCCAUAGGUACACAAUAUGCCCUGCUUGAGAAGACUGUCUCUGAGUUAUCUAAAAAAAAAUCUCCGUUUCGUAAUGGGUUUGAACUCGUACUAGGUGGUCUGGUUCUUUUAGUAAUGGUAAUAUCCAUGUUCGUAAUGUUAAAGUAGGUUUGAACUAAGAGGAGAGUGAACUAAGUAGCUUGGUGUUUUGUAGUAUGAACGCAUACGACUGGUGUGUGUAUUGUAAUAUGUUAUGUAUGAAACUCAUUAUGAAGCUGUACAAGGAGACGGUUAAGGGGUGUAUUUUUUCCAAUGAACAAGGAGACUUAUAAAUUUUUAUAAGUACUAUGUUUUGUUAUUACUAAUUGAUCAUGUGAUUUCGUAUAA